UACGUAGGGUGCGAGCGUUACUCGGAAUUACUGGGCGUAAAGCGUGCGCAGGCGGUGAUGUAAGACAGAUGUGAAAUCCCCGGGCUUAACCUGGGAACUGCAUUUGUGACUGCAUCGCUGGAGUGCGGCAGAGGGGGAUGGAAUUCCGCGUGUAGCAGUGAAAUGCGUAGAUAUGCGGAGGAACACCGAUGGCGAAGGCAAUCCCCUGGGCCUGCACUGACGCUCAUGCACGAAAGCGUGGGGAGCAAACAGG
rnacentral:rRNA from 1 species